rnacentral:rRNA from 1 species
CCCGGGUGGCAGCAGUGAGGAAUAUUGGUCAAUGGGCGCAAGCCUGAACCAGCCAAGUCGCGUGAGGGAUGACGGUCCUAUGGAUUGUAAACCUCUUUUGUCGGGGAGCAAGGCCCGCCACGUGUGGCGGGAAGGAGAGUACCCGAAGAAAAAGCAUCGGCUAACUCCGUGCCAGCAGCCGCGGUAAUACGGAGGAUGCGAGCGUUAUCCGGAUUUAUUGGGUUUAAAGGGUGCGUAGGCGGAAGGUUAAGUCAGCGGUCAAAUGUCGGUGCUCAACACCGGCCUGCCGUUGAAACUGGUCGUCUUGAGUGAGCGAGAAGUAUGCGGAAUGCGUGGUGUAGCGGUGAAAUGCAUAGAUAUCACGCAGAACUCCGAUUGCGAAGGCAGCAUACCGGCGCUCAACUGACGCUGAGGCACGAAAGCGUGGGGAUCGAACAGGAUUAGAUACCCCAGUAGUC